GUUUAUAAGCCUUCCCAAACCCACAACAACAAAGACGCAAUCUUGGAGUUGACCGCUACUCUUCUUCUGUUGCUUCUGAUUCACGAGACCUGAUGGAGGAUUUCUUCUCCAAACCAGUCUCGAUCUCCACCACCACCACCACCACCACCACCACCAAUCGUCCUUGCAAUGUCAGAUCAGACUACUCCGAAAUCACUCUCUGGUCUUCUUUGGAUGCGCCAAAAUAAUGAUUUUGCUGGAACACCUCUGAAUCUCUGAGCUUUCCUACUCAGAUUUUGUUAAAAUGCUAGAAGACAUGGGCACUCAGUCAGACACGGGGGUUUUGUUUUCUCAAUACAAUAACAAGCCACCUUUUGCAUGGUGCCUAUAAAAAUAGCUACUUAUCACGAUUGGAGGUGCUGCUUCUUCUAUAGGGUUUCCUUCAAAUUUAAAGUAGCAAAAUUGCUUUACCUCGUUCUAUUCAAGUGAGACUUUUGUGGAUUUGCUUCUUAGAAUUUUUUAUUUUGGUUGAUUACUUUAUUCAACAUCCAUCUUGAGCUGAAAUUGUUUGCUACUUUGUUUUCAUCGCCGUAUAGAUUGGUCAAUCCUUCUCAGUGGAUGAUGAGGACUCAUCUUUGCAAAAACUUGGGGACUAAGUUUGUGUUUUGGUUCAAUUUUUUUUUGCAUUUUGUUCUAGAAAGUUUGUACACAACAAAAAUAAAUUCCUCUUUGAUUUUGUUUUGAACAUUCAUCAGAACUAAUUAGUUAGAUGAACCCUCGUGAAUAUCACCCUUAUUUAGGGGAUCAUGCUUUGAUAACAUAUUUAAGCAACUUCUUGCAGUGAUGAGCAGCUAACAUGUAAGAAAGACCACUUUGUGUGGUUUCUUCAAUGAAAUAUCGUUACGCUUGGCUUCUGAGCACUUUUUGUGAAGAUUUUUGUCUACUGGAUGGCAUAAAAUCCAUUUUAUUUGGUUACUUGUAAUCCAUAAACUGCCUGUGGUAAAAUUGAAUUAGCUUCUAUCACCAGAGAGGUAGUGCAAUUGGACUUGUCUAGUAUUUGGAAGUGCAAGAACAAAUUUCAUCCUCCCCAAUGGUUUGGUUGUUGAAGUUCAUUCUUUGUGCUACCUAUGUUGUGCUCUUUUAGAUUUGAACAUGGUGCUUUCUAUAAUCUUCCAAAAUCAACGUCAUUUAUAUUUGUUUUUGCAGAUUGCAAACAGGGUUGGGUUGUGGGUGCAAAAUCCGGGGACCCUGAUGCAUAGCACCGAGCUCACUGCUACUAUUAUCACUCCAGAGAUGAGAUGAAGAGCAAGCUGUUACUUUCCUAAUUUGUGUUCCCCAUAUACAUUGGAGACUGCUGGCUCAUAUGAUUUCACGAUUCUCCCCCAAAAUAGCCUUCAAAAUGAGUUGUACUUUGUAUUAAGGCUGAUGCAAUAGCUAAAUAUGCAGUUCAACACACAUUCUUAGGCCUCGUUUGGCAACCGGACUUUUUAGCUAAAAAGUCAAAAAGUUACUAAAUUAGCCAAAAAGCCAACAACCCAUACCAAAAA